UACCUCUAGUUACCAUGAUUUUAUAUAUUCUAUUAUUUGGACCAGAUCAUGGAUCAUGAAUAUUUGUUUAGCCCUAAUCCAGUAACCUAACAUGUAUAUUCUGGAUGAUUAACAUGUACUUACUUUUUAAUUUUAUUUUGCUAACCUGUAAUUCUAUUUCUAAUAUUAUAUCUUAUAUAUGUAUUUAACAUAAAAUAAUACAUGACAGAAUUUUCAUUCAUAUAUAUAUAAUUAAAACGGAUUAAUAGAUUACCUAGAUCGCUUAAUUAGACGUCUAAACCAUAA
rnacentral:lncRNA from 1 species